rnacentral:rRNA from 1 species
GACGAACGCUGGCGGCGUGCUUAACACAUGCAAGUCGAACGGAAAGGCCCUGCUUUUGUGGGGUGCUCGAGUGGCGAACGGGUAAGUAACACGUGAGUAACCUGCCCUUGACUUUGGGAUAACUUCAGGAAACUGGGGCUAAUACCGGAUAGGAGCUCCUGCUGCAUGGUGGGGGUUGGAAAGUUUCGGCGGUUGGGGAUGGACUCGCGGCUUAUCAGCUUGUUGGUGGGGUAGUGGCUUACCAAGGCUUUGACGGGUAGCCGGCCUGAGAGGGUGACCGGCCACAGUGGGACUGAGAUACGGCCCAGACUCCUACGGGAGGCAGCAGUGGGGAAUAUUGCACAAUGGGCGGAAGCCUGAUGCAGCAACGCCGCGUGCGGGAUGACGGCCUUCGGGUUGUAAACCGCUUUCGCCUGUGACGAAGCGUGAGUGACGGUAAUGGGUAAAGAAGCACCGGCUAACUACGUG